UAGAGAUGCCUCAAAUCUAGCG
rnacentral:siRNA from 1 species